CCAGUUGUAGACAUAAACUUGCUGAUCCAUGGAAGCUGGAGUAUCUAAGGAUAGAAGCAGGACAUGUUCUGGUCAACUGAGAAGUGUGCAGAGAGUCAGAAAACAGGAGGUUGUUGAUCCUAGAAGUGAAAAGUGACCUUCAAACACUGUGGUUCAGCACUGGGAGCCUGAUCCAAAGUCUGCUGGGAAGAAAGGAAGUUUGAAUGCUCAUUCCCAAGAGGGUUUUGAGAACCUCCAGAGGAAAACUGCUGACAACAAAUGCCUGUUAAUUAAAACCAAAAAUUUAUCAGCCUAAAAACAAUAAAGUUGGUUACGAUGGA